GAAUGCGGCUCUGUGCUGCCAGGUGCUGCACGGACAGAUUUUCCCGUGGUAGCGGCAUCCCUCCAACAUGUGUCCCCCCACAGCCUCCUCUGCGGCCGCCCCCUCACCACUCACACACCGCCAUCACAUAAAUGAACCAUGUGGGCCCAAAGCUGCAAACACAUGGCCGAGGGGGGAACCGGAUUGAGACAGUCAGAGUACGGAUUUAUCCAGAACCCUUCAGCUGCAGAGGUGGGUUCGCUCAAACUUCUAUAUAUAUAUCUGUUUAUUCUGAUUAUUCUACAUCUUCCUCUGUCUUCACCUUUGUAAAAAAAAGGCUCAUCUUGAAGUUCUCUGUAGUAGUUUUUAUUUUUAAGAAGUGAAAUACUUCUGCUUUUUAACCCGUUACUUUAAUUGUUCAGAGGACUGCAGGCUCUCUGAUAGUCCGCCGGUUCCUCAUUAGCGCAACAGCACCAUGUAAUUCCAUUACAGCCACGACAAAGUCAGAUGUUAGCGAGUCAAUGCUGGGCUGAUUCCACUGGGAUUUCGCGGCAGGCAGGCAGGCAGCGGGGCUCUGGUUAAAACACUGGUAGUAUUGUAGCCCCUCGCACCUUCGCGCCUUUGUGCAGUUGAUGGUUUUUAGUGCGCAACGUAGAGGUCUUUGGAGCGGCCGCAGUCAGGCGGAAUGGACAUGCUAAAACACUCCGGCUAUCUUGUCACUCCGGCUACAAGCUUUGGCACGGCUUUAAAGGACACGGCCAUUUUUACUGCCAGACAGGUUUUAUUCUCUUUGGAGCCCGGCGGGCCUGAACACUGGAGGGCCACGCCAAGCCUUAAUUUGGUUGAGAAAGACUCAAAGGCCGCUGAUUCAGCGUAAAAACACACUGCGCUUUCAUACCUAUAGUGUGCUGUCAGGGACACACAGCCCAGACAGACACACGCUGCAGAGUUUUGAUUUUACAUCCCGACAGCUAAAAUAUGUCAGGGUAAGAAUCAAACAAAUUUAAUAUAAACCAGUGGUUCUCAACUGGUCUCACUCCGGGACCCACUUGAAUAAAAUUCAAACCAAGCAAAUUUAAUUUAUAUAUAUAUAUAUAUAUAUAUAAAACCUUUAAAACUCUAAUCUUUCACAUAAAUCCACUUGUUUUAUCAAGUAAAGUGCAUUUCAGAGCACGUGAAGAGGACAACAUGAGGACGACAACUACUGAAGUUGCGUGUGCAAAAAAUAUCAAAUCUCUAAUAAAUAUCGCAUUAAAUAUUUACCUUUUUUGACCCGCUGUUCGAGACCCAUCCAGAACGUGUACGUGACCCACUUUUGGGUCGGUACCCACCAGUUGAAAACCACUGAUAUAAACUGUUCACAGUCAGUCAUUGACAUGCGAAUGAUUGAUUUCAGGGAUGGGAAAGAUAUGAGAGAUGAGAUGACUGUGUGAAAGUGCUUCUUCACUUUCAACUGAUCAGUGUGUCUUAAAUCUUUCUUCGUGAGCGAUGGGUCAGCUGGAUGAGGAGUGGGGGGCUCUGUGUUUGCUCACACUGUGGUGUUGACACCGGGACUCCGACCAUUAAGCCCUUCCGAGACUUUCUUUUCUUUUCUUUAUUUUUAAGAUCCACUGGUGGUCAAUUAAUAACAAUCUCGCUGACAGUUAGGAAGGUGAUUUUUUUUCUUGCCCAUGUAGUUUACUGCGUCAUGAGUGUAAAUUAUUCUUAAGUAAAAAAAAAAAAAAAAAAAAACAUUUUCAGUCAAUAAAUAUUAUAAAUAAUUCCUCUAGUAUAUCCAGCUCAGUCACUUCUUCAGCAGAGUCUUUCCUCUUGCUCUCACGCAGAUGUAUUUGCCACUUUAUGCUUUGGCAAAACUUUCUGGUGAUCAGUCUGGUACAGAAAAUAUCAGACUUUUCAGCUGUGAGUGGUAUUUUUACGCACCAGAGACAGUGAGCACAUGUGCUGAAGCUGAAACCGAAUCAACAAGUGGUAAAGCGCUAAAAAUAAUCUGUAAAUCUGUGAUUACAAUAAGCACUAAUGGAGGUGUGAAGCUUAAGCUAAACGGCUUAAUGAAAGUAAGAGGUUGUUUCGCCCCUAAUGCGAUCAAAUCUGUUCUAAACCCACUAAUUGACGCAACGGGGAGACGCCAAACUACAGCCAAAAUCGGCUUGAUGUGCAGAUCAUCUCAAAAUCCCGUGGAGUAAUCAAACCCCUGGCUCUAGCCCGACAUAUAAUGAGUUUGUCGGUUGUAAGGCCGACCAGACAAGCUCCAAGCACUAUGAUUUGCUUGAUAUGGGGGUGGGGGGUUGGGGGGGGUAUGUUAUUGCGGUCAGCCGGUGGUUGCCAACAGGUGUCAGAGGACGGAACAGGAAAAGAUAUGUGGCCGAGAAGAGAAGUAGACAUGCGCUCCUUUAUUUCAGACGUGACCUCCCAGGCUAAAUUACAUCUUUAUGAGCGUUUCCUUGUUUCAGAAGAUCGGUCUCCUCCGUGAUCUCCUGGGAUGCACCUGGUAGUUCAAACUUGGUUUCUUUUCAUGUCCUUGCGCCCUGGACAGCAGCUGCCUAAAAGCAAGCAAAGAGAGAGGCCCUUGUAGUGUCUUCGAGACGUGUUGGCACCGUUUUCCUCGACUUUAAUGUUCCAUCAGCCUUUGUGCAGGACACAAUAUGGCAACUGUAAAGCAUGACGUUUUGCAAUAAUAAAACACAUUUUCAAUGAUGUGACACAGGGCUGAAAGCGCAGCGCGGCUGAGCCUGGCUAAACACAUCCCUGCGUUUGUUUUGUGCGCCCUCAGCCAAUUAACAACGAGGUCUUUUCGCUGCGCCUUGAUAAGCCAAUUAAAUUUAUGUCUUGUGCUUUUUUUUCCCAAGGAGAGAAAGGAUGUGGUUUGGUGUUCCUCUCCUCACAGAGUCGAUUUUCUUGCCAUCACCUGGCGCUUUCUGCAAAGAGAGCAAACUGUCCCGGCUGCCCCCGCAACCAUAAGGCUCUCACCAUCCUGCGCCAUUGUCCCCCAUGUUGAUAACUCAUUAUCGGGAUUUAACAAAUCCUCUUGCAGCUAUGUUUUGUUUCAUAUUUUCAUCCGCAAGAUUUAGCAGAUGCUGCGAUUGUAACAUGGAAACUGUAGGGCUACUCAAGGUUGAAAGAGAGACGGGCACUCGGUAGGAAGCGAGGGAGAGAAAAGGGGCUUUGGGCACAUCUUCAGAGGAAUAAAACAUUUAGGAGCCAUAAACAGACUUCAACCUGCUCUAUUUCAGCCUUUGUGUUGUUUGUGAAUAAUUAAUGUUAAUAGGGACAAGUUUGUAUACUUUGAAUGCGGGACCACAGGUGCGGAGUGACAGGAUGAAUAACCGGCCCCGAUUUUUGCCAAAGCUCGAGGGCUCUUGUCCAGGGUCUCCAAGCUGAUGGAAAAUAUUGUCAUCUCUUUGAUUCGCAGCAUUACUUUCACCAGGAACAAAGCCGGGUGAUGAAAAGCUUAUGUUGGAGUGAAACGGGCGAUGACGGUGGCCGCUUCAGACUCCUGAAAGAAAGAGAAAGGAGGCGAGUCAAUAGCAACGCGCGCUUCAGGUUUUGUGCGCAAGUGCUCCAUCUAAUUCAAAUAAAGGAGCCUUUCCAACUUUUAAAGGACCACUUUUUGCCUUUAAUAAAGGCUGGACGGCUGUAGCCAUUAAGCAUAUGGUGCUAAGGCGCUGGUCUUUUGUCCCCGUCAAGCCCUUGAGAUACUAACUUGUGUUCUUCUCUGGAUAUUUAACUUCUCAAAAGGUCCAACUUUAUGCGCCGGCAACAAGUGGCUCCGGCGCGCACAAGCAGCGAAUCAGGGAAGAUAGAAGGAAAUAAUAACAGCGGAACUGAAAAGAGAAGGCUUUCUGAAGGACAAACACUUUGUAUCAUUUAAGGGAAGUGCGAACAGUUCUUGUAAUUUCGAGCAGGGGCGACGUGGGCUGCUUUGGAUUUGUUUCAACCGAAUUUGUUUACUUUUUGGCGCAUGGGUUUUCGUGAAGACGCACGGAAAAACUGGGUCUGAAGACUGUGUACGGAAAGUUUAUUGUAAGUGCCUCAGAAUGCAUGAGUGAAAUGAAAUCAGUUACACCAAACUGUCACUCUGUAAUGUGUUAGACUUUUAUUUACGUCGGUCAAAGUAAUGCGUCCGGUGCUACUUUGGUGUUUGAGUGAGAGAGACGCUCUGUGGGAGAGGAUGUGUGAGAAUAGCCUACAUGAUACAAAAAUUCAACUUUAGAACUCUCUAAUACAAAUAAAAUCCAUCGUUAGAACUCUUAUUUCGGCUGCAGUUUAUCCGUGCGUAAAAGCCGGAUACGUCUUUCCACUUUGGUCUCGUGCGUAAUGAUGCGUCUGCUGCGCGGUGCGAUAUCGGGGCAGGACUGUGGCGUGUCUCUCCCUCCCCUAGUGACGGCAUCAAGGAGACGUGACAAGCAGCAUCACUGACCAGUACGAGUGGAUCGUAUGAACCACUUCAAGGGGAUGCCUUAAAUGACAGCCGUCAGUAUAAUGAAGAGUCCGUCUUCUGACGUUUCAGACACUCCGGCCACCUGCAGCGUUACUUUCUGCCUGUUCAUACAUAUUCAUCAGGAUAGUCUCAACAUCUUUGGUCUAAAAAGAAAUAAAGGUUCGACUAAGUGUCGAAGAGUAGGAUUUUGUCGAGACGGUGUUUGGGAAAUGGAAAAAUGUAAAGAAACAGAAAUAAUUGUACCGACGGAUUUAGUAGAAAUCAUCUUGACAUCACAUCUUCGUUUUUUGCAAACUUGCCAGUCGGAUCUGCCUGUACACUCAUUUUACAUAUUCCUUUUCAGCCUUCAAAUAUAGAAAGAUAUAAAGUUGUUAGAGGGCAUUAUACAACAAUUACACUGAACACGACUCUGAAUCUGGUGUGUUAGUUUCUAAAUAAACUACAUCUCAGUCUGUCAAAGGGAGGCAGAUUAAUGAUACUUCCAAAAUAUUUUAGUUCCCUGGAUGUCUCGAUCUUAAACGUGGAAAAUGCACUUUAUGAGUUUCGCACUCUUUUCUCCCGGUCUUCCAUUGAACGGACUCAAAGAAAAAAAACCUCCUGCCUUCUGUUCUAUUGAAAUGAAAUCACUGAAUACCGGUAUUAUAAGUGUGAGUGUGUGUUUGUGUGUGUGGAGUCGUGGAGCCAGUUGGCCCCUGAAAACCCCCCUGGUGGACGGAACACGGCGGGCUGACCUCUACGCCAGAGGACGGGAGAUGCGCCUUUGACCGAAUUAGCCAUAAAGACGUCUUGCUAUGAUCUUUGUUGCGGCUGAAAGCAGAGUGGAUAUGAGAGGCAUUGUGCACAGCUUUUGCGUGCCCCGUCAUGAAAUAUUACAAUUUAUUCAUAAGGAAGCUGGUCUGAAAGGAUAUGGUAAUGAAGUAGACUGAGAUGAUCCCAGAACGGGUCCCAGAAAAAGUCCGAGUCCUAAGACAAACCGGAUAAAUCCGUGUUCGAGUUUGGAGUGAAACAGAUCUCAGACUUGGGAUUCAUGAUUUUUUUUUUCGAUCAGAAACCUUCAACUCCGCACGUAACACGUUGACUAAUGAUUCGUUGUCUUUAAAAAAAUCCCUGAAUAACUCUAGAAAAGGUGAUAAAUUACAAAUAUGCUAAUUUUAGUCACGGCCGUUUGUACGUGUGCGUCUCCAUCCAUCUCCUGCUCUCUGCGCUGCUGAUCCCCGUCGUGCGCAAGAGGACACUCAGCCCGUUCAGACCGGGCCCUUUUGUUCGCCUCCAGCACUGACUUUAGCCUCUAGGGAAAAAGUUUUUUUUUUCUCUCUCUCUCUCUUGGUUUUGUGCCCCCCACCCUCUGCACUCCCAUCCCUUGCUCUGUCAGUUGCCAGGCUUCAGAGGUGUAAAAGCAUGCAUCAUUUUUCACCAGCUCUGCGUUUUGAUAUCGACAAAAGCGGCUGCUAUGGAACAGCCUCUCCGCUUGUUCGCUGGCUUGAACUUCACUGAUGUCCGACUGCUCUCUUUUCCUCGUCUGAACGCAGCACAGCAGGGAUGGAUUUGCAAGACAAAUGCAGCUGUGUGAGUGCGAGGGAGUCAAGUGGCACAAAAAGGCCGUUUCAGUCAGCCCAUGGCAUGGAGAAAGUCAGCAUUAUGCGGGCGUCAAAUCAAUCAAAAACAAAAGCCCCCAUACACAAACUGCCGAGUUUAUGGAGCUGAAAUGGCAGCUAUUAACUUGUGUAGAGCAAACACAUUUUCCUUAUUCAAAAAGGAGAGUUAGUUUGAAAAAAAUCAGGCAACAUACAUGAAUAAACGUUAAUAAAGCUGGAUAUUUGCUUCUGUACUCAAGUACUGAUGUCUUUAUAAUGAAAGUAAAGAAUAAAAAGUUUAUCCAAAAAUGACCUAAAGGGACAGUGAAAGAGAAGCUUUAAUUGUGAAUGUGGAGUUUUUUCUAACUCUGUAACUAAGUCAUCAAAUAGUUUUACUCAAAUGGACAAAUAUUCCGUGGAAAAGACUAAAUCAAUACCAUCGUGAUAAGUUUUGGUUUAAUGAACAGGUACUGUCCAGCUAAUGGGGCUUUUUUAAACAUGAACUGAACACACAGGUCUUUCAAGCCAGCAUACAGAUAUAGUUCACUUACAUCACUUGCGUUUAAAGGUCCUUACACACCGGGCCGACGCGAACAUACGAUGCGAAAUUACAAAAUAUGGAUGGAAGCGAGAAGACUGACGCAAUAGCAGACUGACUGUUUUUCAGUUCUGAUUAGACACUAGUGUUGAGAUAGUUGUCUGUUAUGAUAGCAUGAACUGAGUCAGGGCCAGUACCAGAUAAGCACAUUAAACUAUAAUCUAUAAAUGUAAGGUAACAACCGAGACCAAAUGGUGCUGUGACAGCAAUGUGAUUGAGUUUGAGACAGUGAAAAUACAUAUGGUAUGUUGUAUCUGAACAGGUUAGCUUACGAGUUAAAAAGUUACUUAGCACAGUUAAAACAGAGACGUUUAGCAAACUGUUAAAGCACACAAACUAUCGUCAUUUGAGAAAUCUGACACUAUGACUCUCCCCAAGUUGUCCUUCAGGUUGUUAUCUUUGUAAUGUUUGUUUUAUCAAAAAGCACUCUGUUCUCUGACACGUAAAAAAUUAGCCAGUCGGCCAUGUUGGAUAUACCGGUGAGUCACAACAACACGCUAUCUGAUUGGUCAGAAGUGGACACACAGUGUGCGAAGCUUGCAUUGACAGGAUAUGGGUUCGAGAAAAAAAAACGUCAAAAACGGUCCCAGUGUAAAACCUUAACAGUUAAACCAUGUUCCUUCAUUCCUUCAUCCUUCAAUUAGAAAUAGACUUAACUUCAUCAUUUCAACCAUUUCCAUACAAAAGCGGUUAAGUAAGUUCAAGUGUCAGGGAUGAAUUUUGGUGAACAGGUUCUCUUAUUGAGUGGAAACAGACUGCAUCAUGAUAAAGAAACCAUCAACUCCCAUUUUCUAAAUGUCAAUCAUGUUUGUUUAAGAUCUCACUUUAUGUUCUGAGUUUUGGACAACGUACACAUCAGUGCAGAUAAUUCAGGCAUCACUCUUCCCCCCUGGAUCAUUGUCCAGCAGUUUGGUCAAGCGCUACAGUGGAUCAAAUAAAGAAACAGUAGAAAACAGAGAGAGCAGCACAUUCAGCUGUCCAGAUGUUUGCAAAGUACAUGUUUGUUUGGUUCAAUCAGGUUCAAUCAGGUUCUUCUACUCACUUGGUGUCUCUAGAGCAGUGGUUCUCAAGUCCAGUCCUGAGGCCCACUGUCCUGCACAUUUUGGAUGUUUCCCUGCUCCAACACACCUGAUUCCAAUGAUCAGCUCGUUAUUAAGCCAUUACAGAGCUUGAUAACGAGCUGAUCAUUUGAAUCAGGUGUGUUGGAGCAGGGAAACAUCCAAAACAUGCAGGACAAUGGGCCUCGAGGACUGGACUUGAGAACCAUUGAUCUAGAGCUUCACCGUUCAUUUUAUUUUGAGCUGAUCUUUCAGCUUAGACACCCUAAGAAAAAGGCUGUAGCUGCGUUUUCUCACAUUUAGGGCUACACAAUCUGCUUUGUCAUGCUCAUUAUUACGACAACCAAAUGUCAGGAUAUACUGACUGAUAAUAUUAGAUUAUUACUUCAUGCAUAAAUGAAAGACAAAUUUCAGAACAGGCUUUCUCCACAGUAAUAUUCAUGACAUACUUUGACACACAAGUAUCUAGGCUGAAGUGUCAGUCUUUCCUAUCAUUGUGAGGGGCAUGUUUCAACCAUUUUACUCAAAUCCAGACAUCAUCUUUCUCCUGAAGCAGCUUCUGCAAACAGAAAGCUUGGUAAACACCUUAUCUCACUCAUUGGCUAUGUUCACACUGCAGGUCAAUUCUGAUUUUUAACCAUAUGUGACACAUAUCGGAUUUUUUCAUGUAAGUGUGAACAGUGCAAUUCAGAUUUUUUCAACUCCGACCCAGGCCUCUUUUGUAUGUGGAUAUAAAUCUGAUAUGUAUCCGAUGUGACUGCAGUGUGGACGCUCAGGUUGCGUUCAUCCGACCUAUACGUCAUCAAUAUGCGACAAAUGUCACCAUUGUUCGGAAAGCAAUUUGUGCUUUGUGCGCAUGCGGGUCACUUCACGGACACAUUCCAUUUACAUUAGAUGCCGCAUUCGUUGUUGUAAUGUGAACGGCCACACAAAAAGAUUGGAUUUAACAAAAAAACUGAAUUGUGCAUCAUAACCUGCAGUGUGAACGUAGCCUCAGUCUUUCCUUACCUGCUGUGAUUAAACGGUCCAUACAUUAUCAAUAGAACAGUAAGCAUUAAGAAAUGCUACGCGUCCUCUGCUGGUUUGUGCAGGAAGAAUCGAACUCAGCUAACACACUCACAAGUACAUUCAACAAAAGUGGACAUGAUGAAUUGAUCCUGAUCUUGAAAAUCUGGCUGAGAUAACACAGCCCCUCCUUGGUUUGAUAACACACUUAAAGGCUGUGAUCUAAGUCGAUGAUUAUUGAUGUUGAGGACUUCAAAUGCUAUUUACAUCAGAAUAUAAUACAUCUGUUUGUCUUGUUUGAGAGAAAUACUCAUGGUCUUUUUACACCCUAAUCCGCGCAAACUGGGAUACAAUGCAAGACCAGAUUAAUCUUUAAGUGUAAAGACAACUUCAACAUGUUUUACCUUUUUCAGAGGAGAUGGAGGCAUGCAAAACUCCACUCUGAAAUGUAAUCAUACAUCGGAUAGAGUGCACAAAACAGAAAGAGGAAAACAUAUGUGAGACCUUCUUCUCGUUGUCUGUUUCAAAGUGAUAAUGCAAGUGAAAUAGAGAAAACAGCAUGGUGUUCAUUUCCUGAUGUUAUAAAGGACUCUCACAGCUCCUCUUGUCUCUCUGCAGCUGGAGCCGACCGUGCUGUGAGGCAGAGCCAGUGGCUGGUGGCCAGUGCUGACUGGGACAGCUUCCAGCCUCAGAGGGUCUGUGAUUAACCCAGGAGCGGUCAAACUCGGCAGGAAGCCCUCCACAACCAGCCGCUGCUAUUUAUCCACUCGCCAAUGAAACCAAUUACUUUUAGAGCCAGCCUUGCUGCCACACUAUGUGUGUUGUUCCUGCAGACCAAUAGAGUAUUUCUGUGAAAGGAAAGGCAGACGUGAAGUAGGAAACCCUCCGGAGCUGCUUCAACAGGCUGUAAAAUAUACCUAAAGUCAGUUGCCAUGGAGACGACAUGAUGUGCAAGAGAAGCUUGAAUGAUAAACAAAGCUUUUCCAUUCAACCAAGAAUUCCACGAUAAAUAUUUUUUUACUUAUCUCCCAACAAGAAACAGUUUUGUGGUUGUUUCCAAGGUGACAAGUCAGCCACAUCACAAACGUUCAAUGAUUUCACACUGUGAAGUGAGUUUUGUGACUACAGGACAUUCAAACUGUCUCAUCAAACCACCCACCGAACCAGAGUAUGGGUGUUUUUAUUCUGAUGGAGUUUAAAGGUCCUUUCACACUGGGAUCGUUUUUUUCAUGCAAUUAUUUUGGACGUCAAUCUUUUUUUUCAAAUCUGUAUCCUGUCAAUACAAGCGUUCACAUCAGUGAUGUUUUCCCAUCCUGCGACAUUGCGGCAUUUAGUUUUUCAAAUCACAGACGAAUUUUUUAAGUUUCGCAUACUGUGUGUCCACUUCUGACCAAUCAGAUUUCGUGUUGUUACAACGUCAGAUUCACCAGUAUAUCCAACAUUGCUGACUGCCUGAUUGUUUAUGUGUCAGAGAGCAGAGUGCUUUUUGAUAAAAGACACAAAUAUUACAAAGAUAAUGACCUGAAAGACAACUUGUGGAGAGUCAUAGCGUCGGAUUUCUCAUAUGACGAUAGUUUGUGUGCUUUAACAGUUUGCUAAACGUCUUUGUUUUAACUUUCAUCUGUGCUAAGUAACUUUAGCUUGUAAGCUAACCUGUUUAGAUACAACACACCAUAUGUAUUUUCACUGUCUCAAACUGAAUCAUGUUGCUGUAACAGCACCAUUUGGUCUCGGUUGUUGCCUUACGUUUAUGGAUUAUAGUUUAAUGUGCUUAUCUGGUACUGGCCCCGACUCAGUACAUGCUAUCAUGACAGACAGCCAUCUCAACGCUAGUGUCUAAUCAGAACUGAAAAACAAUCAGUCUGCUGUUGUGUCAGUCUUCUCGCUUCCACCCAGGACGUGUCUUUUCCCCCCCCGUAAAGUUGCAAAAUCGCAUCGUGCUCAAUGCGUAUAGUCGGGCGCGUCAAAAUUCGCCCCAAAAUAUUUCAUAAUUUUGCGUUGUAUAUUUGUGUUGUUCCCAGUGUGUAAGGACCUUAACUCUCACUGACUAAUUCAUCGGUCCAAGUAGUUCUGCUGCUGCUGCUGCUAAUGGAGUAUGGUAUCAAGAGAAGACUCAAGGAGAGAUCUGCUCUAUGAUACAGAAUAUUUCUAUACAACCUUCAUUCCAGGAAAGUGGUUGUUGCUCCUCUGAAGUUGUCCAGGCCCAAAGUUACCCCGAAGUCUGACUCUUUUCCACAUUCCCAUGGUUUAUGGAGUUGUCUGCAUUUUUGGGUCAUAAAUACAGUUUCCUUCUUGCACAGUUCAUUUUUAACUCAUUUGGUGGAGAACUGUGGUCACUGACAAAGGUUUUUAAGAGAUGAUUUAGAGCCCAUGCAGGAAUUUCCAGUACAGAGGAUCUGAAAAAUCAAGGCCAUAGUUUUUGAUCUUGUGCUUUUCCUGCAGAGAUUUCUCCUGGAGGUGAUGAAAUCCUCAAGCUCUCCGCAAUUUGAGGAACAUUUUUCCAGAUUUGUUUAAUAUUUUAGUCUCUCACAGAGUGGUGAACCUCUUCCAAUCUUUCCCUCUGAGAGACUCAGCCUCUCUGAAUGCCCUUUUUAUACCCACUCAUGUUACUAACCUGUUGGAAAUGAACCUCUUAAGUUGGAGAUGUUCCCCCCAGCUGUUUUUCUAAAGUGUCAUUUUUUGUGAAGUUUUGCUGGCAUCAAAUGAACAUUUAUUUAAAUGAAUAUUUAUUGUUCAUGUUCAAUGUUUAUGUUGUCUUUGCACUGUUUUUAGGUUUUGAAUGGUUUGCAAAUGACCAGAGCCUGUUUUUAUUUAUUUUUGUAUCAAGUGUCUGUGAAACUUAUCCGUCAUGUUUGAAGGGUGAUAAACUAGCUACAAAUGUUUGCAUUUGGACUGUCUCACAGAUGUAUUCAUUAAAGUGAUGUUCAUUAUUUUUCACUUCAUUGUUCCCUAAUUCAUUUGAUUUGAUAUUCUUUGGGCUGUUAAGAAUAAGUGGGAUGAUUCCGAUUUUAUUCUGAUCUCUGUGAGUCCAUUUCAGUGCUUGAACUUUGAAGGUCCUUACACACAGGGGCUGACACCAAUAUCGAACGCGAAAUCAUGAAAUAUUCAGAGGUGAAUUUUGACACGCCUGACAAUACACAUCAAGCCCGAUGCAAUUUUGCGACUUUCUGUGAAAGACACAUCCCAGGGAAGACUUUUCUGGGGAAAAGUCCUGCCUCCUUCGCCUGAAAAUGCUGGAAACGUCAUCACAUGCUUAAGCCAAACGGUCAGCACUUAUAGCCAAUCAGAGGCGAAGGAGGGUAGGACCUUCCCUUACCAUCCUACAGCGUCCUGGGUGGAAGCAAGAAGACAAAAAUGGAGUCUACUUCAACUUCAAGUGAUGGAGAAUUGGUACUCCUUUUGCUUUCUCAAAAGAAAAAGAAACGUAGCACAUGGGUGCAUCAAAUAUUACAAAAAAGAAGAGAACUUGCUGAGUUUCACUGCUUGGUUCAGGAGCUGAAACUGUACCACGGUUGCUUCAGAACCUGUUUUCAGAUGUCCGUUGGUUCUGCUGAAACAAUUAGCUCCAAGUUUGAAGACGCAGAGGACUAGACACUGGUGUUGAGAUGGCUGUCUGUCAUGAA